UGCCCUCCCCCGAUGGCUCUGCUCUCCAGGCAGGAGCCUGUUUACUCCUUCCCGUUGCACUGAUGUUCUAACACGACGACACUGAGUGACUUGGGACAGCCCCCAGAUGUAGAUCUGACAAGGCCGUCACUUGGCAAUGACCCCACUAGGCCUUUCAGGCACCAGGCUGGCUGUACAGUUUUUUGGAAGGGAAAAGCAGCUGUCUUUCUUUCCAGGAGUGGUUCUGCACCUAUUCAGACUGACAGAUGAGCAGAGCUCCAGUUGGGUCCAAGUUCUGUCAGGGGCCCAGAGUGAACUGGGAGGCCCUCCCUCCUGA
rnacentral:lncRNA from 1 species